rnacentral:rRNA from 1 species
AGCGAACAGAUAAGGAGCUUGCUCCUUUGACGUUAGCGGCGGACGGGUGAGUAACACGUGGGUAACCUACCUAUAAGACUGGGAUAACUUCGGGAAACCGGAGCUAAUACCGGAUAACAUUUGGAACCGCAUGGUUCUAAAGUGAAAGAUGGUUUUGCUAUCACUUAUAGAUGGACCCGCGCCGUAUUAGCUAGUUGGUAAGGUAACGGCUUACCAAGGCGACGAUACGUAGCCGACCUGAGAGGGUGAUCGGCCACACUGGAACUGAGACACGGUCCAGACUCCUACGGGAGGCAGCAGUAGGGAAUCUUCCGCAAUGGGCGAAAGCCUGACGGAGCAACGCCGCGUGAGUGAUGAAGGGUUUCGGCUCGUAAAACUCUGUUAUUAGGGAAGAACAAAUGUGUAAGUAACUGUGCACGUCUUGACGGUACCUAAUCAGAAAGCCACGGCUAACUACGUGCCAGCAGCCGCGGUAAUACGUAGGUGGCAAGCGUUAUCCGGAAUUAUUGGGCGUAAAGCGCGCGUAGGCGGUUUCUUAAGUCUGAUGUGA